AGAGUUUGAUCCUGGCUCAGGAUGAACGCUGGCGGCGUGCCUAAUACAUGCAAGUCGAACGAAUCUCUUCGGAGAUGAGUGGCGAACGGGUGAGUAAUACAUAGGUAACCUGCCCCUGUGCGGGGGAUAACAGGAGGAAACUCCUGCUAAUACCGCAUAGCCAUGAGCACCGCAUGGAGCUCAUGCCAAAUAUCCUUUCGGGGAUAGCGCAGGGAUGGACCUAUGGCGCAUUAGCUUGUUGGCGGGGCAACGGCCCACCAAGGCAACGAUGCGUAGCCGGCCUGAGAGGGCGGACGGCCACAUUGGGACUGAGACACGGCCCAGACUCCUACGGGAGGCAGCAGUAGGGAAUUUUCGGCAAUGGGGGAAACCCUGACCGAGCAACGCCGCGUGAGCGAAGAAGGCCUUCGGGUCGUAAAGCUCUGUUGUAAAGGAAGAACGGCGCAUACAGGAAAUGGUAUGCGAGUGACGGUACUUUACCAGAAAGCCACGGCUAACUACGUGCCAGCAGCCGCGGUAAUACGUAGGUGGCGAGCGUUAUCCGGAAUCAUUGGGCGUAAAGAGGGAGCAGGCGGCCGCAAGGGUCUGUGGUGAAAGACCGAAGCUAAACUUCGGUAAGCCAUGGAAACCGGGCGGCUAGAGUGCGGAAGAGGAUCGUGGAAUUCCAUGUGUAGCGGUGAAAUGCGUAGAUAUAUGGAGGAACACCAGUGGCGAAGGCGACGGUCUGGGCCGCAACUGACGCUCAUUCCCGAAAGCGUGGGGAGCAAAUAGGAUUAGAUACCCUAGUAGUCCACGCCGUAAACGAUGGUCACUAAGUGUCGGGGGUCAAACCCCGGUGCUGCAGUCAACGCAAUAAGUGACCCGCCUGAGUAGUACGUUCGCAAGAAUGAAACUCAAAGGAAUUGACG
rnacentral:rRNA from 1 species